GAUGAAGAACGUAGCGAAAUGCGAUAAGUAAUGUGAAUUGCAGAAUUCAGUGAAUCAUCGAAUCUUUGAACGCACAUUGCGCCCGCCAGCAUUCUGGCGGGCAUGCCUGUUCGAGCGUCAUUUCAACCCUCGAGCCCCCCCGGGGGCCUCGGUGUUGGGGGACGGCACACCAGCCGCCCCCGAAAUGCAGUGGCGACCCCGCCGCAGCCUCCCCUGGGUAGUAGCACACACCUCGCACCGGAGCGCGGAGGCGGUCACGCCGUAAAACGCCCAACUUUCUUAGAGUUGACCUCGGAUCAGGUAGGAAUACCCGCUGAACUUAAGCAUAUCAAUAAGCGGAGGA
rnacentral:misc_RNA from 1 species